UAUGUACUUCCUCCAUUCGGAAUUACUUGUCGCAGAAAUGGAUGUAUCUAGAUGUAUUUUAGUUGUAGAUACAUCCAUUUUCGAGACAAGUAAUUCCGAACGGAGGGAGUAAUAG
rnacentral:pre_miRNA from 1 species